rnacentral:lncRNA from 1 species
UUCUAUUCUUGUUCAUAAAAGUAACGGGUUUUCAAAAGCUAGAGAUAAAAGGGAUUUUAAAAGGAUCUCUGGGUUUAAAAUCUCAAUUCAGAAAUCCCACCAAGAUUGCAGUGCAUUCAACUUGUCCAAUUCCAGUGCAAGCGUCUUCUGCCUCAUUUUGUCACUGGGGGAGUUGACUCAGUGUCCGUAGGGAACAUUGCCCUGGCUGUCACAGGAUGUUCAAGAUGUGAGGACUAGCAUGGGUAAAAAUUCUUGACACGACAGCGUCCUGUCAGAAAAUACAGAUUAAUCAAAAUUUAAGUGUCUCUCAGGGAUGCUCAAACUUCUUCCAAAUUAUAGGUGGAAAAAUGUCAGUAGGCUCAACUUGAUUAUUGCAUUUCUUGCCUUUCUGCUUGGACUUUUAUCCUGGCUUUAUUAUUCUUUCAGUGAAAUGUUUCUGUGCUUUCAGCACUGUAUUGCUGGGGAUUUCUGCUCACCUGAAAAAUUUGAGAGGUUGUGUCUUGUUCUGAUUUGACAAACAACAUGUUUCCUUCCAUUUCUACUGGAACAGAAAUUCUCAUUUCCAGUUGUGGUCUGGAUUUCCAGAUCUGUUCUGUGUUUUUAUGUCAUCAAACCUGUGCUCACGGAAGCCUGAUCCAUCAUAAAGCAACUGCUUUGAGAAAUCCACCAUCCAACGUGCUCAACACAUGCACAAAACAUUUCUUUCAUGAAAUGCUCUGAAAUCAGAGCAGAGAGCGGGGGCUGUUUGUUGCUGUAUCACAUGCUUAGCCUGGGUGAUCUGAACUGAAGUUCCUGGGGUCAUUCACAUGAACAAAGACUGCUGAGUGCAAUUACUGGCCUGUGCACACUUACCUCCCAUGUACAAAAUCACAGGAAAUGAGGUAAUCCCGAGGAAAGCCCAGGAGUUAUUAGCUCCAGACUCUUCAAACAUUAUUCUCUCUCCACCUGCUAGCAGAUGGUGUAAGUGAAGCCACAUGGAGAAUUACCCAUCAGGAGACAGACCUCCUUUGUCUGCUGUUUCAUCAACAGUUCCUACAGAAGUAAAUCUAGGGAGUAUACCAAGAGAAUGGCUGAGCUGGCCUCAGGGAUUUCUCCCGAGAAUCAUAUCAGGUAAAGCUAGCAGAAGUUGGGGUGAACCACCUCUCCCCAUCAUUUGUUUGGCUUCCCUAAGAAUUCAAUCUUAAAUUGCACCACUGUCGAGGUAGAGGUGUCAGAGAGCUAAUGCUGAAUGUACUGCUUUAAACAGGGUGGCUUUGAGCCACGCUGCCUAGUGGGAGCUUGGCUUUCUGUUUGCUCAACUUCCCGCACCCCUCUGCAUCCCACGGAGCAUUCUCAUUGAAAAGCCAGCAGGACAAAGCUGACUUAGAAGUUUAGACCUUCCCAAUUGGUAGCAUGCCCUCCAAACACAAGUAAUUGAUUGGCAUAUAUCUUUAAUGGCCUAUAAUAAGCAUUAUGCUCUUCAAAGAGCUUCCUAGCCUACUUUCUGGCAAUGUUGCUGCUGUGUUUUUCUAUAGCUAUUUGUCUUGCUUUGUGUUACUUCUAAUGAUCUCAUGUAAAGCUGGUCAUUUUGCUUUACCCUGAAUAUGAAUUAUUUUUAAAUGGUGUUGAUUCUGAAUGAUAUUCAUGCUGGCCUUCAUGAAGUUUUUUUUAUUCCUGUUAGUCUGAAGCUAUUCUUUGGUGGUACAGGCUCUGCUUCACGAAGGUAGAAGGUAGCUGUGAAAUUUUGUCAAAUGACUUCCAAAAUGUAAAAAUCCAAUCUGUCAUUACAAUGACUCUGAUACCUUUACAAAUUCAAACCACUAUUGUGGUGUGACCUUUCUCAUCUCAACUUGUUGCUCCAAAGAAUUCUGACCUUAAUGUAAUGUGUUUGCUAAAAUGUUUUUUGUAAACUGUCAGCCUACCAC